rnacentral:rRNA from 1 species
CUACGGGUUGCAGCAGUGGGGAAUAUUGCACAAUGGGCGCAAGCCUGAUGCAGCCAUGCCGCGUGUAUGAAGAAGGCCUUCGGGUUGUAAAGUACUUUCAGCGGGGAGGAAGGGAGUAAAGUUAAUACCUUUGCUCAUUGACGUUACCCGCAGAAGAAGCACCGGCUAACUCCGUGCCAGCAGCCGCGGUAAUACGGAGGGUGCAAGCGGUAAUCGGAAUUACUGGGCGUAAAGCGCACGCAGGCGGUUUGUUAAGUCAGACGUGAAAUCCCCGGGCUCAACCUGGGAACUGCAUCUGAUACUGGCAAGCUUGAGUCUCGUAGAGGGGGGUAGAAUUCCAGGUGUAGCGGUGAUAUGCGUAGAGAUCUGGAGGAAUACCGGUGGCGAAGGCGGCCCCCUGGACGAAGACUGACGCUCAGGUGCGAAAGCGUGGGGAGCAAACAGGAUUAGAUACCCGUGUAGUC